rnacentral:rRNA from 1 species
UCUACCCAUGAGUGGGGAAUAACAUUCGGAAACGGAUGCUAAUACCGCAUAAGUUCUUUGACCUCCUGGUCUUUGAAUAAAAGACGGCCUUUGUGCUGUCUCUCAUGGAUGAUCCCGCGGCGUAUUAGUUAGUUGGUGAGGUAAUGGCUCACCAAGACCAUGAUACGUAGCCGACCUGAGAGGGUGAUCGGCCACACUGGGACUGAGAACGGCCCAGACUCCUACGGGAGGCAGCAGUAGGGAAUCUUCCACAAUGGGCGAAAGCCUGAUGGAGCAAUGCCGCGUGAAUGAAGAAGGUCUUCGGAUCGUAAAGUUCUGUUAUUAGAGAAGAAAAAAUCAAGGACUAACUAUCUUGAUUUUGACGGUACCUAACCAGAAAGUCACGGCUAACUACGUGCCAGCAGCCGCGGUAAUACGUAGGUGACGAGCGUUGUCCGGAAUUAUUGGGCGUAAAGGGAGCGCAGGCGGUUGGAACAGUCUGAUGUGAAAGCCCACGGCUUAACCGUGGAAGGUCAUUGGAAACUGUCCAACUUGAAUCCAGAAGAGGUAAGUGGAAUUCCAUGUGUAGCGGUGAAAUGCGUAAAUAUAUGGAGGAACACCAGUGGCGAAGGCGACUUACUG